GUGGGGAAUAUUGGACAAUGGGCGAAAGCCUGAUCCAGCCAUGCCGCGUGUGUGAAGAAGGUCUUCGGAUUGUAAAGCACUUUAAGUUGGGAGGAAGGGCAGUAAAUUAAUACUUUGCUGUUUUGACGUUACCGACAGAAUAAGCACCGGCUAACUCUGUGCCAGCAGCCGCGGUAAUACAGAGGGUGCAAGCGUUAAUCGGAAUUACUGGGCGUAAAGCGCGCGUAGGUGGUUCGUUAAGUUGGAUGUGAAAUCCCCGGGCUCAACC
rnacentral:rRNA from 1 species